AACUUAUUAUUAAUUUUUGGCUGUGCUGCACAGCUUAUGAAACUAUCUGUAAGAUGCACUCGAGCUAGCCGUAGCCUCAUUUAAGGAGCUCUAUGUGUUGCAUGAAUUGUCAUCCUCCUUAGACUUUUUGCCAGCUGGGAGGCGGAGAGAUUAGUAUAUGCUCAGAAGACUUUGAGCUGAAAUUUUUCUGUAUUUUGAGCUGCACUUGAGUCAAUAAAGGCAGAGAGACAAAUUUUAUUGCUCUACCUGUCAAGGUUUAGGAUUGAAAUGGUUUGGUGAAGGUAAUAAUACAUAAUCACGUGUAUAGUGCAAUUCAUUUUCUGUGUGGCUAGUGAUUUGUUGCAAAAUUCGUGCUUUGGUGUAUUGGUUGAGCUAUUUGUUUACUAUUUUUCUGUUAAUGGGUGAGUAAAAUGGAAGGUGCUGCUUUUCAUUUGUUACUAAGAUGUAGUAUCAUUUAUUUUAAUAGCAAAUAAAGCUGAGUUCGAUCCUCAAACUUGGGUUUUGGCUGCCAUUUGCUGAUGUCUAACACAUUUUUACAGAGUAGAAGAAGAUUUAUAAACUUAAAGAGAGAUCUUUAGGUGGCUCAGGUUGUUUGAGGAUGCAAAAUGUUGUGAGCAAAAGUGAAUUGGUCCUGAUGCAACAUUCUGAGACCUUUGAAGAGUUUAGCAAAUAUGAGUUAUUGAGCUUAAGUCAUAGCUAAAAGACAUGAUAAAGUUCAGAUGGAAGGUACAGGAUGUAUCUGCUGUUCUAUUUCAAUCAAUGGUCUCUUACCAGACUUAUAGGUGGGUGCUUAAGAAGGCCAAGUUUUUUAGUUCUUCUUUAAUAUGAAGUCAUGAUUUUGUUGAGUGUAUGCACACUUUCUAUGGGGUGGGCUUCAAGUGUGGUACCAAAUCCAGAAGUGAUGAUACCUAGUAGGCGUAUGAGAUAUCGAUGUGUUCAACGUACCCCGCAACAAGGGGAUUUAAGAAGAUUUGAUCUAGAAAUAGAUGCUUUAUGUGGAAAAGUUCUGAAAAAUACAGCACUUUCUCAGGAAAUGGCUUAGUUGCUGAAAAUUAUAUGAUUUGUAAAUGCUAUUUGUGCAGAGUUACCAAAGAAUAGGAUAAUUUUGCUGAUGCAGUAUGGGAUGGUUGUAAAGUUCUGGGAGGAUAUGUUUGUUUGGACCUGAAAGCUUGAAAUUAGGAUUUUCUGCUGUAAGUUGAAUUGAAUAGACCUUCUGUACCUACAUUGUCAUGGAAAGGGA